rnacentral:rRNA from 1 species
GAGUUUGAUCGUGGCUCAGAUUGAACGCUGGCGGCAUGCCUUACACAUGCAAGUCGAACGGCAGCAUGAUCUAGCUUGCUAGAUUGAUGGCGAGUGGCGAACGGGUGAGUAAUACAUCGGAACGUGCCCUGUAGUGGGGGAUAACUAGUCGAAAGAUUAGCUAAUACCGCAUACGACCUGAGGGUGAAAGUGGGGGACCGCAAGGCCUCAUGCUAUAGGAGCGGCCGAUGUCUGAUUAGCUAGUUGGUGGGGUAAAGGCCCACCAAGGCGACGAUCAGUAGCUGGUCUGAGAGGACGAUCAGCCACACUGGGACUGAGACACGGCCCAGACUCCUACGGGAGGCAGCAGUGGGGAAUUUUGGACAAUGGGCGAAAGCCUGAUCCAGCAAUGCCGCGUGUGUGAAGAAGGCCUGCGGGUUGUAAAGCACUUUUGUCCGGAAAGAAAUGGCUCUGGUUAAUACCUGGGGUCGAUGACGGUACCGGACGAAUAAGGACCGGCUAACUACGUCG